rnacentral:rRNA from 1 species
UGGGAGCCCUUCGGGGUGACUGCGUACCUUUUGUAUAAUGGGUCAGCGACUUAUUGUCUGUAGCAAGCUUAACCAUCUAGGGGAGGCGUAGGGAAACCGAGUCUUAAUAGGGCGCUCAGUUGCAGGCAAUAGACCCGAAACCGGGCGAUCUAUCCAUGGCCAGGUUGAAGGUGCCGUAACAGGCACUGGAGGACCGAACCCACUAACGUUGAAAAGUUAGGGGAUGAGCUGUGGAUCGGAGUGAAAGGCUAAUCAAGCCCGGAGAUAGCUGGUUCUCCUCGAAAUCUAUUUAGGUAGAGCGUCGUGUCUUACCCUGGGGGGUAGAGCACUGUUUGGGCUAGGGGGUCAUCCCGACUUACCAACCCCAUGCAAACUCCGAAUACCCAGGAGUACAAUCACGGCAGACAGACGGCGGGUGCUAACGUCCGUCGUCAAGAGGGAAACAACCCAGACCGCCAGCUAAGGUCCCUAAUACCAGUUAAGUGGGAAACGAUGUGGGAAGGCUCAGACAGCUAGGAGGUUGGCUUAGAAGCAGCCAUCCUUUAAAGAAAGCGUAAUAGCUCACUAGUCGAGUCGGCCUGCGCGGAAGAUGUAACGGGGCUAAAUUGGUAACCGAAGCUGCGGAUGCAUGCUUGCAUGCAUGGUAGAGGAGCGUUCUGUAAGCCGUUGAAGGUGAACCGGGAGGUUUGCUGGAGGUAUCAGAAGUGCGAAUGCUGACAUGAGUAACGAUAAGGGGGGGUGAAAAACCUCCCCGCCGGAAGAUCAAGGUUUCCUGCGCAACGCUAAUCGGCGCAGGGUGAGUCGGCCCCUAAGGCGAGGGCGAAAGCCGUAGUCGAUGGGAAGCAGGUUAAUAUUCCUGCACUUUUUCUUACUGCGAUGGAGGGACGGAGAAGGCUAGGCCAGCAGGGCGAUGGUUGUCCCUGUUUAAGGUGGUAGGCUGAAUUCUUAGGUAAAUCCGGGAAUUUAAGGCCGAGGACUGAUGACGAGCACCCAAGGGUGCGAAGUGGUUGAUGCCAUGCUUCCAAGAAAAGCUUCUAAGCUUCAGGUAAGAAAGAACCGUACUGUAAACCGACACAGGUGAUCAGGUAGAGAAUACCAAGGCGCUUGAGAGAACUCGGGUGAAGGAACUAGGCAAAAUGGUACCGUAACUUCGGGAGAAGGUACGCCGGCUUUGGUGAUGGGACUUGCUCCCUAAGCUGAGGCCGGCCGAAGUGACCAGUUGGCUGCGACUGUUUAUUAAAAACACAGCACUCUGCAAACACGAAAGUGGACGUAUAGGGUGUGACGCCUGCCCGGUGCCGGAAGGUUAAUUGAUGGGGUUAUCUUCGGAGAAGCUCUUGAUCGAAGCCCCGGUAAACGGCGGCCGUAACUAUAACGGUCCUAAGGUAGCGAAAUUCCUUGUCGGGUAAGUUCCGACCUGCACGAAUGGCGUAACGAUGGCCAAACUGUCUCCACCCGAGACUCAGUGAAAUUGAAAUCGCUGUUAAGAUGCAGUGUACCCGCGGCUAGACGGAAAGACCCCGUGAACCUUUACUAUAGCUUCACAUUGGACUUUGACCUUAUUUGUGUAGGAUAGCUGGGAGGCUUUGAAGCAAUGGCGCUAGCUGUUGUGGAGCCAACCUUGAAAUACCAGCCUGAUAAUGUUGAGGUUCUAACCUAGGCCCGUAAUCCGGGUCGGGGACAAUGUGUGGUGGGUAGUUUGACUGGGGCGGUCUCCUCCUAAAGAGUAACGGAGGAGCACGAAGGUGCGCUAAUCACGGUCGGAAAUCGUGAGGUUAGUGUAAAGGCACAAGCGCGCUUGACUGCGAGUCUGACAAGACGAGCAGGUACGAAAGUAGGUCUUAGUGAUCCGGUGGUUCUGUAUGGAAGGGCCAUCGCUCAACGGAUAAAAGGUACUCCGGGGAUAACAGGCUGAUACCGCCCAGUCAAACUACCCAUCACAUCCUGGGGCUGAAGCCGGUCCCAAGGGUAUGGCUGUUCGCCAUUUAAAGUGGUACGCGAGCUGGGUUUAGAACGUCGUGAGACAGUUCGGUCCCUAUCUGCCGUGGGCGUUGGAGAAUUGAGGGAAGCUGCUCCUAGUACGAGAGGACCGGAGUGGACGAACCUCUGGUGUUCCGGUUGUGACGCCAGUCGCAUUGCCGGGUAGCUACGUUCGGAAAGGAUAACCGCUGAAAGCAUCUAAGCGGGAAGCCCCUCCCAAGACUAGUUCUCCCCGACCCCUUGAGGGUCCUGAAGAGCCGUCCAAGACUAGGACGUUGAUAGGCUGGGUGUGGAAGCGCUGUGAGGCGUUGAGCUAACCAGUACUAAUUGCUCGUGCGGCUUGACCAU